rnacentral:misc_RNA from 1 species
UCGUACAAAAUGUGUGGGGCCAUGCAAGGGCUGUCGCUGACUUUUGAUGCAAAAGUUGUGCACGCCAGAGUGUGUCCUCUCACAUAAAAUCCAUCUCACCCUUUUGUGCACCACCGCGUGGGCAACCCUUUGGGAUCAAACCCGAUCUUGGAGGGAGCUUGCGUUUUCACACAAACCCCCUUUUUAAAAGUGUAGAAUGACCCCAUUUGUGCAAUAACAUGCAAUCAAUA